UGCAAGUCGACGAGAAAGUUCCUUCGGGAACGAGUACAGUGGCGCACGGGUGAGUAACACGUGAAUAAUCUGCCCUUAAGUAGGGGACAACUCCGCGAAAGCGGAGCUAAUACCGUAUGAGACCACAGAAUCUUCGGAUUCAGGGGUCAAAGGUUGCCUCUCCAUGGAAGCAAUCACUUAAGGAUGAGUUCACGGCCCAUCAGCUUGUUGGUAAGGUAACGGCUUACCAAGGCUUAGACGGGUAGCUGGUCUGAGAGGAUGAUCAGCCACACUGGGACUGAGACACGGCCCAGACUCCUACGGGAGGCAGCAGUGGGGAAUAUUGGACAAUGGGCGCAAGCCUGAUCCAGCCACGCCGCGUGAGUGAUGAAGGUUUUCGGAUCGUAAAACCCUGUCCUGAGGGAAGAACAUCCUAGGUUCAAAUAGGUCCUAGGCUUGACGGUACCUCUGGAGGAAGCACCGGCUAACUCCGUGCCAGCAGCCGCGGUAAAACGGAGGGUGCAAACGUUGCUCGGAAUUACUGGGCGUAAAGCGCAUGCAGGCGGAUUGCUAAGUUUCGUGUGAAAGCCCUGGGCUCAACCCAGGAAGUGCACGGAAAACUGGCAGACUAGAGUACUGGAGAAGUGGGCGGAAUUCCGGGUGUAGAGGUGAAAUUCGUAGAUAUCCGGAGGAACACCAGCAGCGAAAGCGGCUCACUAGACAGA
rnacentral:rRNA from 1 species